CCGGGGGGCAACAGUGAGGAAUAUUGGUCAAUGGGAGGAAUCCUGAACCAGCCAUGCCGCGUGCAGGACGACGGCUCUACGAGUUGUAAACUGCUUUUGUACCGGGGUAAAAUGCUCUACGAGUAGGGUUUUGAAAGUACGGUACGAAUAAGGAUCGGCUAACUCCGUGCCAGCAGCCGCGGUAAUACGGAGGAUCCGAGCGUUAUCCGGAUUCAUUGGGUUUAAAGGGUGCGUAGGUUGUUUUAUAAGUUAGCGGUGAAAUACCGAUGCUCAACAUCGGGGCUGCCGCUGAUACUGUAGGACGAGAGAUCGGAUGCAGCAGGCGGAAUGUGUAGUGUAGCGGUGAAAUGCAUAGAUAUUACACAGAACACCGAUUGCGAAGGCAGCUUGCUAGGCCGGAUCUGACACUGAUGCACGAAAGCGUGGGGAUCGAACAGGAUUAGAUACCCCUGUAGUC
rnacentral:rRNA from 1 species